UGUGUGUGUCUGGGGUUCUGUGUGUCCCGC
rnacentral:piRNA from 1 species